AAAACUAAAAGAAAUAUAUAAUGUGUAGCACCAAAAUCUCUCUCACCUUUUUUCUUGUAAUAAUAUUGACAUUUUCAUUAUCCAACAACAAUGUUUUAGCCGCUUCAGGACCAAAUUGUUAUGCUAAGUGUGCUAUAGGAUAUUAUGAAGAUCAUGAAUGCAUCAUUGACUGUCAGAAAUCUGGAUACGAUUAUGGAGGUUGUAUUCCAAAUCAGAAAUCUGGAAAAUGUUGUUGCACUAGAGAAUAAAAAUCGACAAAUUUACUUAUUAUUGAUCAUUUAAGCGAUGAAUUAUAAUUUUACUAGCUUUUCUCUUGUUGGUUUUCAA